rnacentral:rRNA from 1 species
CAGUCGCCACGGUAAUACGAAGGGGGCUAGCGUUGUUCGGAAUUACUGGGCGUAAAGCGUACGUAGGCGGAUUUUUAAGUCAGGGGUGAAAUCCCGAGGCUCAACCUCGGAACUGCCUUUGAUACUGGAGAUCUUGAGUUCGGAAGAGGUUGGUGGAACAGCUAGUGUAGAGGUGAAAUUCGUAGAUAUUAGCUAGAACACCAGUGGCGAAGGCGGCCAACUGGUCCGAUACUGACGCUGAGGUGCGAAAGCGUGGGGAGCAAGCAGGAUUAGAUACCCCAGUAGUCCCUGUCUCUUAUAC